rnacentral:rRNA from 1 species
ACUGUCUCAGAUAAGCCAUGCAUGUCUAAGUAUAAAUGGUUAUACAGUGAAACUGCGAAUGGGCUCAUUAAAACAGUUAUAGUUUAUUUGAUAUUCGAACACUACAUUGGAUAACCGUGGUAAUUCUAGAGCUAAUACAUAGCUUUCAAGCCCGACUCUUAGGAAGGGCUGUAUUUAUUAGAUAACAAACCAAUAUUCCUUGCGUCUAUUGUGAUGACUCAUAAUAACUGAUCGAAUCGCAUGGACCUUGUCCGCGAUACGUCAUUCAAGCUUCUGCCCCAUCAGCUUUCGAUGGUAGUGUAUUGGACUACCAUGGCUUUAACGGGUAACGGAGGAUUAGGGUUCGAUUCCGGAGAGGGGGCCUGAGAAACGGCUACCACAUCUAAGGAAGGCAGCAGGCGCGUAAAUUACCCAAUCCUGACUCAGGGAGGUAGUGACAAGAAAUAACGGACCGAGGCUCUUGCUUCGGGAUUGCAAUGAGUAGAAUUUAAACCCCUUUA